AGUGAACGCUGGCGGUAGGCCUAACACAUGCAAGUCGAACGGCAGCACAGUAAGAGCUUGCUCUUACGGGUGGCGAGUGGCGGACGGGUGAGGAAUACAUCGGAAUCUACUUUUUCGUGGGGGAUAACGUAGGAAAACUUACGCUAAUACCGCAUACGACCUACGGGUGAAAGCAGGGGAUCUUCGGACCUUGCGCGAUUGAAUGAGCCGAUGUCGGAUUAGCUAGUUGGCGGGGUAACGGCCCACCAAGGCGACGAUCCGUAGCUGGUCUGAGAGGAUGAACAGCCACACUGGAACUGAGACACGGUCCAGACUCCUACAGGGAGCAGCGGUGGGGAAUAUUGGACGAGGGGCGAAAGCCUGAUCCAGCCAUACCGCGUGAGUGAAGAAGGCCUUCGGGUGGUAAAGCCCUUUUGUUGGGAGAGAAAAGCAGCAGGUUAAUACCCCGCUGUUCUGACGGUACCCAAAGAAUAAGCAACGGCUAACUUCGUG
rnacentral:rRNA from 1 species